ACCAAACUCAACUGGUGUAUUCUUCGAUUCAACAUCUUCAUUUGGUGCAUGACUUGAAGAUGAAACUUCAAAACUUUGAGUCUCCUGUUGGAUGUUUUCCUUCUCUUUACUUUCAUUUAUUAUGCCUCUUCUCAAUACAUUUGAUUCAUCAAAGUACAUAUUACAUAUUGUGAUAAUUUUGUAGGCUACUGGAUCCCAUAACUGAAAUCCUUUCAUAACUUUUAUAUAGCUAAUAAAGAUACACUUCCUUGAU
rnacentral:lncRNA from 1 species